UUGCUGUGAUGACUAUCUUAGGACACCUUUGGAGGAAUACCCAUGAAAAAAAAAAAAAAUUUCUGAGCAAC
ensembl:snoRNA SNORD58 Small nucleolar RNA SNORD58